rnacentral:tRNA from 1 species
GCAUUGAUGGUUCAGUAGUAGAACUCUCACCUUCCACGUAAGGGACCUGUGUUCAGUUCCCAGCCAACGCA